rnacentral:rRNA from 1 species
GAUGAACGCUGGCGGCGCGCCUAACACAUGCAAGUCGAACGGCACCCCUCUCCGGAGGGAAGCGAGUGGCGAACGGCUGAGUAACACGUGGAGAACCUGCCCCCUCCCCCGGGAUAGCCGCCCGAAAGGACGGGUAAUACCGGAUACCCCGGGGUGCCGCAUGGCACCCCGGCUAAAGCCCCGACGGGAGGGGAUGGCUCCGCGGCCCAUCAGGUAGACGGCGGGGUGACGGCCCACCGUGCCGACAACGGGUAGCCGGGUUGAGAGACCGACCGGCCAGAUUGGGACUGAGACACGGCCCAGACUCCUACGGGAGGCAGCAGUGGGGAAUCUUGCGCAAUGGGGGGGAACCCUGACGCAGCGACGCCCGCGUGCGGGACGGAGGCCUUCGGGUCGUAAACCGCUUUCAGCAGGGAAGAGUCAAGACUGUACCUGCAGAAGAAGCCCCGGCUAACUACGUGCCAGCAGCCGCGGUAAUACGUAGGGGGCGAGCGUUAUCCGGAUUCAUUGGGCGUAAAGCGCGCGUAGGCGGCCCGGCAGGCCGGGGGUCGAAGCGGGGGGCUCAACCCCCCGAAGCCCCCGGAACCUCCGCGGCUUGGGUCCGGUAGGGGAGGGUGGAACACCCGGUGUAGCGGUGGAAUGCGCAGAUAUCGGGUGGAACACCGGUGGCGAAGGCGGCCCUCUGGGCCGAGACCGACGCUGAGGCGCGAAAGCUGGGGGAGCGAACAGGAUUAGAUACCCUGGUAGUCCCAGCCGUAAACGAUGGACGCUAGGUGGGGGGGGACGAUCCCCCCGUGCCGCAGCCAACGCAUUAAGCGUCCCGCCUGGGGAGUACGGCCGCAAGGCUAAAACUCAAAGGAAUUGACGGGGGCCCGCACAAGCAGCGGAGCAUGUGGCUUAAUUUGAAGCAACGCGAAGAACCUUACCAGGGCUUGACAUAUGGGUGAAGCGGGGGAGACCCCGCGGCCGAGAGGAGCCCAUACAGGUGGUGCAUGGCUGUCGUCAGCUCGUGUCGUGAGAUGUUGGGUUAAGUCCCGCAACGAGCGCAACCCCCGCCGCGUGUUGCCAUCGGGUGAUGCCGGGAACCCACGCGGGACCGCCGCCGUCAAGGCGGAGGAGGGCGGGGAGGACGUCAAGUCAUCAUGCCCCUUAUGCCCUGGGCUGCACACGUGCUACAAUGGCCGGUACAGAGGGAUGCCACCCCGCGAGGGGGAGCGGAUCCCGGAAAGCCGGCCCCAGUUCGGAUUGGGGGCUGCAACCCGCCCCCACGAAGUCGGAGUUGCUAGUAAUCGCGGAUCAGCAUGCCGCGGUGAAUGAGUUCCCGGGCCUUGUACA